rnacentral:rRNA from 1 species
GACGAACGCUGGCGGCGUGCUUAACACAUGCAAGUCGAACGGUAAGGCCCUUCGGGGUACACGAGUGGCGAACGGGUGAGUAACACGUGGGUGAUCUGCCCUGCACUUCGGGAUAAGCCUGGGAAACUGGGUCUAAUACCGGAUAGGACCAUUGCCUGCAUGGGGGGUGGUGGAAAGCUUUUGCGGUGUGGGAUGGGCCCGCGGCCUCUCAGCUUGUUGGUGGGGUGAUGGCCUACCAAGGCGACGACGGGUAGCCGGCCUGAGAGGGUGACCGGCCACACUGGGACUGAGAUACGGCCCAGACUCCUACGGGAGGCAGCAGUGGGGAAUAUUGCACAAUGGGCGCAAGCCUGAUGCAGCGACGCCGCGUGAGGGAUGACGGCCUUCGGGUUGUAAACCUCUUUCAGCACCGACGAAGCGCAAGUGACGGUAGGUGCAGAAGAAGGACCGGCCAACUACGUGCCAGCCGCCGCGGUAA